rnacentral:rRNA from 1 species
AGUGAACGCUGGCGGUAGGCCUAACACAUGCAAGUCGAACGGCAGCACAGUAAGAGCUUGCUCUUACGGGUGGCGAGUGGCGGACGGGUGAGGAAUACAUCGGAAUCUACUUUUUCGUGGGGGAUAACGUAGGGAAACUUACGCUCAUACCGCAUACGACCUACGGGUGAAAGCAGGGGAUCUUCGCACCUUGCGCGAUUGAAUGAGCCGAUGUCGGAUUAGCUAGUUGGCGGGGUAAAGGCCCACCAAGGCGACGAUCCGUAGCUGGUCUGAGAGGAUGAUCAGCCACACUGGAACUGAGACACGGUCCAGACUCCUACGGGAGGCAGCAGUGGGGAAUAUUGGACAAUGGGCGCAAGCCUGAUCCAGCCAUACCGCGUGGGUGAAGAUGGCCUUCGGUUUGUAAAGCCCUUUUGUUGGGAAAGAAAAGCAGCAGGUUAAUACCCCGCUGUUCUGACGGUACCCAAAGAAUAAGCACCGGCUAACUUCGUG